rnacentral:rRNA from 1 species
ACAUAAGAAAUUCGCAUGUUUUUCUUAUCAAAGCUCCAGCGGUACAGGAUGGACCCGCGUCUGAUUAGCUAGUUGGUGAGGUAACGGCUCACCAAGGCGACGAUCAGUAGCCGACCUGAGAGGGUGAUCGGCCACAUUGGAACUGAGACACGGUCCAAACUCCUACGGGAGGCAGCAGUGGGGAAUAUUGCACAAUGGGCGAAAGCCUGAUGCAGCAACGCCGCGUGAGCGAAGAAGUAUUUCGGUAUGUAAAGCUCUGUCAGCAGGGAAGAUAAUGACGGUACCUGACUAAGAAGCUCCGGCUAAAUACGUGCCAGCUUUUGCGGUAAUACGUAUGGAGCAAGCGUUAUCCGGAUUUACUGGGUGUAAAGGGAGCGUAGACGGCAGGGCAAGUCUGAUGUGAAAACCCGGGGCUCAACCCCGGGACUGCAUUGGAAACUGUCCGGCUGGAGUGCAGGAGAGGUAAUCGGAAUUCCUUGUGUAGCGGUGAAAUGCGUAGAUAUAAGGAAGAACACCAGUGGCGAAGGCGGAUUACUGGACGGUAACUGACGGUGAGGCGCGAAAGCGUGGGGAGCGAACAGGAUUAGAUACCCUGGUAGUCCACGCUGUAAACGAUGGAUACUAGGUGUGC